AAUACGAAUUUUCAGUAAAAAAUAAUGUUUUCCCUAAAAAAUUUUCUCAUGUAAACUAUCCAUUUUCUUCUCCCUUAAAAAAAAUGAAUCGAUCUUUAAUCGAAUUCGAAAUGGUUAUUAAGGCAAAAAAGACAAAGAUGCGAAACAAAAUACAGGAAGAUACAUAUAAAAAAAGGAAUAAUUUAAUGUGCGAAAUAAAAUUUGAUUCAAGUGUGACAUAUUGAUUUGGCAUUUUGAAGCAUUGCUAUAUCAAAAGGUGCAGAUGCAAAAGUGCAAAAAAUAAAACCAUCGCGUAAAGGCAAAAGGUACCCAAAAGAAUAUUGUGUAUAGGAAUCCAUCAACCAACUUUCUUGAAGUUACUCGUGCCGUGAAUCAAUUGCAAGGAUAUUUUCGAAUAACUUAGUUCCGGUUGCAUUAACUCGAGUGAUUUGCAUAAAACAAUUAAAUAGUUCAAAACCAUGCAGCGUAAUGAACAACGAAAGGGAGUUUAUACGCAGACUUGAAACGAGUGUUGGUUAACUGUAUGGUCGAUUUAGUAGACAGUCUGACACAUGAACGAGAAAAAACAGGUGGUGCUAAGAUCUCUGUGAAUUAUCAUUUACAUACAAACAUAAUUUUUAUGAUAAUUGAGGCACAGAAAAUUUUAUUAAUUUUAAGAAUGAAACCUUGGAAUUUUUUACUAUAAAAAAAGAGAAAUAAUAAGGGUUGUUUGUUAAACCAAGGAAUCGCUCAUUAGUAAGGAAUUUGGUUGAUUGACCUAUUUUACAGAAAAUCCAACUUCUUAGUGCUCUGCGGUUACCCUAAGUUGCAUUGGAAUGCAAAGCAAAUACUCCAGCAACAAGAGGAUCUACAAGAGGAGCAAAAAUCCUUCAAAUUGAGAGAUAUUUCCUCCAUCCUUUGAAAGAUGUCUCCAAAAUCAAUAAAACUAUCAAAAUCGCCUAUAAGAAGCAGAUUUACACAUCACGUUUCUUGAAUCUGAGAAAAACACAAAUGUGAACUACGCUAACCCUGGGUGGUGAGCCUCAGCUCAAUAUCGAGGCUGAAAUGCUAAAGUAGAAAAAUGUUCUUUAGACUGCUAACGUUUUACUCUCAGGAAGAAAUAAAAGAAUUGUGUCUUGAACGAUUCAAGUGAACUCACAAAAAUCGCAAGUGGCAAAUAAA